rnacentral:rRNA from 1 species
GUGAGGAAUUUUCCGCAAUGGGCGAAAGCCUGACGGAGCAAUGCCGCGUGAAGGAUGAAGGCCUAUGGGUUGUAAACUUCUUUUCUCAGAAAAGAAUUAUGACGGUAUCUGAGGAAUAAGCAUCGGCUAACUCUGUGCCAGCAGCCGCGGUAAGACAGAGGAUGCAAGCGUUAUCCGGAAUGAUUGGGCGUAAAGCGUCUGUAGGUUGUUUAAAAAGUAUUCUGUCAAAGAUUAGGGCUUAACCCUAGAUAGGCAGAAUAAACUUUUAAGCUAGAGUUUGGUAGAGGCAGAGGGAAUUCCCGGUGGAGCGGUAAAAUGCGUAGAUAUCGGGAGGAACACCAAAGGCGAAGGCACUCUGCUGGGCCAAUACUAACACUGAGAGACGAAAGCGAGGGGAGCAAAUGGGAUUAGAUACCCCAGUAGUCC